rnacentral:rRNA from 1 species
CCUACGGGGGGCAGCAGUGGGGAAUAUUGCGCAAUGGGCGAAAGCCUGACGCAGCGACGCCGCGUGAGGGAUGAAGGUCUUCGGAUCGUAAACCUCUGUCAGCAGGGAAGAACGGUCACUGUGCUAAUCAGCAGUGAAUUGACGGUACCUGCAAAGGAAGCACCGGCUAACUCCGUGCCAGCAGCCGCGGUAAUACGGAGGGUGCGAGCGUUAAUCGGAAUUACUGGGCGUAAAGCGCGCGUAGGCGGUAUGUCAAGUCAAGGGUGAAAUCCCCGCGCUCAACGGUGGAACUGCCUUUGAAACUGGCAAACUGGAGUGUGUGAGAGGGUAGUGGAAUUCCAGGUGUAGGAGUGAAAUCCGUAGAUAUCUGGAAGAACAUCAGUGGCGAAGGCGACUAACUGGGACAUAACUGACGCUGAGGAGCGAAAGCGUGGGUAGCAAACAGGAUUAGAUACCCCAGUAGUC